rnacentral:rRNA from 1 species
GCCCAAGAGAUCGGGAUAACACCUGGAAACAGAUGCUAAUACCGGAUAACAACAGAUGAUGCCUAUCAACUGUUUAAAAGAUGGUUCUGCUAUCACUCUUGGAUGGACCUGCGGUGCAUUAGCUAGUUGGUAGGGUAACGGCCUACCAAGGCGAUGAUGCAUAGCCGAGUUGAGAGACGGAUCGGCCACAUUGGGACUGAGACACGGCCCAAACUCCUACGGGAGGCAGCAGCU